GGCUUUCCAGCCACAUGAAGCAGCGGACUUUUAAUCCGUUUGUCGUGGGUUCGAUCCCCGCACACACCA
rnacentral:tRNA from 1 species